CUUUUGGAUCACUUGUUCUGGAAGAAGCCAGCUGCCAUGCUGUAAGGACACUCAAGCAGUUUCCCCACGUGGGAACAGCCAACAUCAACUUGCUAGCCAUACAAGUGAGGCAUCUUGGGAGCAGAUCUUCUAGUCCCCAUGAAGCCUUUAGAAGACUACAGCCCUUCUAACUUUUUCACUGCAACCUCAUGAGACAUCACAGCCACCACCGAGCCGUCCCCACCGAGGAGAGGGGAGACAGGGAGGCAGUGAGCAAACGACGCUGCCCUCAGGAGCCGCAGUUCUUCACCUUCUGCUCUGUGACGGCCUGGAGAGCGGGGCCAGCAUUCCCAACAGGCCUUUCCAGCCAACAAGGAAAGGAACCAAGGAGCCAGCCAGAGGACAAGCUCUUUCCGCCAUUUCCUGGUCUGCUGUACUGCUCCUUCCUUCCAAAGGAGGAUACAAGGAGAAGAUGGCAACCCGCAAACCACGAGAAGUACUCUCACCAGACACCAGAUCUACUGAUACCCUGAUCUUGGACCUCCCAGCCUCCAGGCUAUGACAGAAAAAUGUUUGUUGUUUAAGCCACCCUGUCUAUGGUAUUCCGUUAUAGCAGCCCGAACUAAAGACAUAGGCAUAUUUUAAGUAUCUUUUAACGUUGGCCUCCUCUCAAUGAGAUUUCUCCAUCUGGCCUGCCCAAAGAACUCCACGUGGCGAAGCUUUUUACUGUGGCCCAGGCAGCAGUACAUCAUCCGACAUUGCUUCCCAUUGCCCCUGGCCUCACAUUCCUCUUCUGUCAUCUCAUAGCAUUAGCCUUAAACCUUGCCACAGGCUCUGUUUUCUUGCGAAGUUUGACUAAAAUGGGAAGAAAUAGAUUUGUGGACACAACUCAAGAAUCAUUUUGGAGUGUAGACAACUAUUUGGAGAAGUUUGGGUGUAAAGCAACAGAGAAAUGGGGCAACAUCUACAGGAGCAUUGAUGAGAGAGAACCUAUGAAGCGGUGAUCUCGGAGCGUAAGAAAGUCUGUUUUUGAGGGCAAAGUGGUAGAAUUCCUGGCCAUGUCGAAUAUCCAUAUGAGAUUUAUGACCACAUGAUCCUUGUCAGCCUGGUUUUCUGAUUUUUCUUGAGCAGAACUCAGCUGCUGGGAUGCAAGCACAAAGAGUGGAGUUGGGUUCAUCUUGGUUAAGUUAGGGAUAAGUGAGAGGGCUAGAGGGAGAAAGGCAGGAAAUCUGGGCCGGAAAAAGAGGAAAGUCAAGUCAGGAGAGAACUGGUAGAUGUUAAGAAAGAAGAGAG
rnacentral:lncRNA from 1 species